UAUUCCGGAAUAAGUAAUAGUUUGAAUCUGGAUAUGGUAUUAUUACUGCCUAGAUAUAUAUUGUAAUCUGUUUACACUUAUUCUACUUUUUUGUUUUUACAUAAUUUUGUUUAUAUUUAUUUUACUAAAUAAUUACUAAUAGAUAAAGAAGUAUGUGCAGGAUUUAAUUUCACGACUAAAGAGGACUCCGAAGAAGAAUUAAAGUUCUGGUGGAUCAAAGAUCACGAAUGAUUUGGUUUUAACUGGUUUGCAUCUUAUGAACAAAGUACAUAAUAUGAUUUGAAUUGAUGAUUUAUAGUUACACCUAUUUAAAUUCUGCAUCUCAAUGAUAUCCUGGCUUAUUGAUACGAUAUCCUGUAAAUCCACUCACAC
rnacentral:lncRNA from 1 species